rnacentral:rRNA from 1 species
AUACGGAUGGUGCGAGCGUUGUUCGGAAUUACUGGGCGUAAAGGGCGCGUAGGCGGCGAUGUAAGUCAAAUGUGAAAGUCCUCGGCUUAACCGGGGAAGUGCAUCUGAAACUGCAUUGCUUGAGUAUGGGAGAGGAAAGUGGAAUUCCCGGUGUAGAGGUGAAAUUCGUAGAGAUCGGGAGGAAUACCGGUGGCGAAGGCGACUUUCUGGACCAAUACUGACGCUGAGGCGCGAAAGCGUGGGGAGCAAACAGGAUUAGAAACCCCAGUAGUCC